GUAAUUUAUCAAGUAUGUGUAUUUGUCUAUACUUUUUUGGAUGGUGUAAAUCCAUCAAGAUGUAUUUUUUAUCCUAAAUAGUUUUAUCAUAUUAACUAUUUUCAAGUCAUAAAAUACAAUAGUCAGUUUUGGUCAGUAGCGUUGCAGUGAUUAGUAAACGAAGUAUAACAUACAUAUAGUAACAAGAUUUAGUAUUGUCAGUAUACUAAUUGUCAGAUUUGUUCAGUCAUAAACGUCUUUGGAAGGUAAUUCGUAAUGUACGCUGUGUUCAGUCCGAUUCAUUGGUCAGUAGCAGGGUUUGAACGAAGGACCUCGGGUUCUGUGCUCUUAUAACUUGCAUCUAGACGAACGAGGCGGUUGAGACCAUAACAGAUUUUGGCGAAAACUUGCGCAAAUUCAUCUCGUCGGACGUCUUGAUUCAAGUCGUGAACCAGCUGUAGGACGUUUAGGAGCUGUAUAUUUUAAACAACUUGUUACGUUAUUCACAAUCACAAUAAACAAUAAAUUAACACUA